AAACCAACAGGGAUUGCCUCAGUAACGGCGAGUGAAGCGGCAAAAGCUCAAAUUUGAAACCCUCGGGAUUGUAAUUUGAAGAUUUGGCAUUGGAGAAAGCUAACCCAAG
rnacentral:rRNA from 1 species